AUUGAACGCUGGCGGCAUGCCUUACACAUGCAAGUCGAACGGUAACGCGGGGCAACCUGGCGACGAGUGGCGAACGGGUGAGUAACGCAUCGGAACGUGCCCAGUAGUGGGGGAUAGCCCGGCGAAAGCCGGAUUAAUACCGCAUACGACCUGAGGGUGAAAGCGGGGGAUCGCAAGACCUCGCGCUAUUGGAGCGGCCGAUGUCAGAUUAGGUAGUUGGUGAGGUAAAGGCUCACCAAGCCUUCGAUCUGUAGCUGGUCUGAGAGGACGACCAGCCACACUGGGACUGAGACACGGCCCAGACUCCUACGGGAGGCAGCAGUGGGGAAUUUUGGACAAUGGGCGCAAGCCUGAUCCAGCCAUGCCGCGUGCGGGAAGAAGGCCUUCGGGUUGUAAACCGCUUUUGUCAGGGAAGAAACGCUCUGGGCUAAUACCCCGGGGUAAUGACGGUACCUGAAGAAUAAGCACCGGCUAACUACGUGCCAGCAGCCGCGGUAAUACGUAGGGUGCAAGCGUUAAUCGGAAUUACUGGGCGUAAAGCGUGCGCAGGCGGUUAUGCAAAACAGAUGUGAAAUCCCCGGGCUUAACCUGGGAACUGCAUUUGUGACUGCAUGGCUAGAGUGCGGCAGAGGGGGAUGGAAUUCCGCGUGUAGCAGUGAAAUGCGUAGAUAUGCGGAGGAACACCGAUGGCGAAGGCAAUCCCCUGGGCCUGCACUGACGCUCAUGCACGA
rnacentral:rRNA from 1 species